UAAGGGCGCACGGUGGAUGCCUUGGCACUAGAAGCCGAUGAAGGACGUUACUAACGACGAUAUGCUUUGGGGAGCUGUAAGUAAGCUUUGAUCCAGAGAUUUCCGAAUGGGGAAACCCAGCAUGAGUUAUGUCAUGUUAUCGAUAUGUGAAUACAUAGCAUAUCAGAAGGCACACCCGGAGAACUGAAACAUCUUAGUACCCGGAGGAAGAGAAAGAAAAUUCGAUUCCCUUAGUAGCGGCGAGCGAAACGGGAAGAGCCCAAACCAACAAGCUUGCUUGUUGGGGUUGUAGGACACUCUAUACGGAGUUACAAAGGACGACAUUAGACGAAUCAUCUGGAAAGAUGAAUCAAAGAAGGUAAUAAUCCUGUAGUCGAAAAUGUUGUCUCUCUUGAGUGGAUCCUGAGUACGACGGAGCACGUGAAAUUCCGUCGGAAUCUGGGAGGACCAUCUCCUAAGGCUAAAUACUCUCUAGUGACCGAUAGUGAACCAGUACCGUGAGGGAAAGGUGAAAAGCACCCCGGAAGGGGAGUGAAAUAGAACCUGAAACCGUGUGCUUACAAGUAGUCAGAGCCCGUUAAUGGGUGAUGGCGUGCCUUUUGUAGAAUGAACCGGCGAGUUACGAUUUGAUGCAAGGUUAAGCAGUAAAUGUGGAGCCGUAGCGAAAGCAAGUCUGAAUAGGGCGUUUAGUAUUUGGUCGUAGACCCGAAACCAGGUGAUCUACCCUUGGUCAGGUUGAAGUUCAGGUAACACUGAAUGGAGGACCGAACCGACUUACGUUGAAAAGUGAGCGGAUGAACUGAGGGUAGCGGAGAAAUUCCAAUCGAACCUGGAGAUAGCUGGUUCUCUCCGAAAUAGCUUUAGGGCUAGCCUCAAGUGAUGAUUAUUGGAGGUAGAGCACUGUUUGGACGAGGGGCCCCUCUCGGGUUACCGAAUUCAGACAAACUCCGAAUGCCAAUUAAUUUAACUUGGGAGUCAGAACAUGGGUGAUAAGGUCCGUGUUCGAAAGGGAAACAGCCCAGACCACCAGCUAAGGUCCCAAAAUAUAUGUUAAGUGGAAAAGGAUGUGGCGUUGCCCAGACAACUAGGAUGUUGGCUUAGAAGCAGCCAUCAUUUAAAGAGUGCGUAAUAGCUCACUAGUCGAGUGACACUGCGCCGAAAAUGUACCGGGGCUAAACAUAUUACCGAAGCUGUGGAUUGUCCUUUGGACAAUGGUAGGAGAGCGUUCUAAGGGCGUUGAAGCAUGAUCGUAAGGACAUGUGGAGCGCUUAGAAGUGAGAAUGCCGGUGUGAGUAGCGAAAGACGGGUGAGAAUCCCGUCCACCGAUUGACUAAGGUUUCCAGAGGAAGGCUCGUCCGCUCUGGGUUAGUCGGGUCCUAAGCUGAGGCCGACAGGCGUAGGCGAUGGAUAACAGGUUGAUAUUCCUGUACCACCUAUAAUCGUUUUAAUCGAUGGGGGGACGCAGUAGGAUAGGCGAAGCGUGCGAUUGGAUUGCACGUCUAAGCAGUAAGGCUGAGUAUUAGGCAAAUCCGGUACUCGUUAAGGCUGAGCUGUGAUGGGGAGAAGACAUUG
rnacentral:rRNA from 1 species